CACCCAAGCCGGAGCCAGACGCUCAACCGGCUGAGCCCCCCAGGUGCCCCACCUCUUGAUGGGGACGGCAAGAUUCUCGAAGCUCACACGGGACUGCAGAUAUUGCUGUGGCCGUAUUUGAAAAACAUGAGCUAUCAUAACAGAAGCGUCCCAGGGGAAGAGUGGAACAGACCUUGCUGCACCAUGGCAAAGGCUCAGAAUCUGGGGAACCAGCCCGAGGGAUACCCAGGGCUCCUUUAGCCCCGAACACAAUCGAGGGGCCGAUCCCCUGCCUGGAUCAGAGAUGCUGGGAGGACACUCACCCCGGGGCUUGCAACACACGGGGCACCCCUUCUGGGUUCGUCUUUGUUGUAAUCCGGGGAGGACUAAGCCAUCACAGCCACUAUCACAGAUGUUCUGGAAGGCCUACUAUCGGUGGUUCCCGUGAUGAUUGAUAGAUAGCAUGCCGUCUCUGCAAUCCUGCAUCUCUGGGCAGGGACCGAGGCAGACUGUUCUAAUCCAGGGGGAGGAGUCUUCUGACAAAGGUGUUCGGACCCUGGAGUUACCAGGCUAGCUGAGACGCUUUCAGACGAUCCCAGCCCCAGCCACUGUCUGACCGCACGCACAAAGGAGCAGGAACGGCCGAGCUGAGCCCAGGCAACCCCCCAGGACCAACAAGA